rnacentral:rRNA from 1 species
AUGUAUCAUGUAUGCUCACGUCACGGACACAUUUCUAGGGAGGAGAGCGACCCCCACAGGCCGCCGCAGGCGAGUCCGUCAGGGAUUAACGGCGGCGGCGAGCGGGGCUUCCGCCGUCAGGCGCUCGCAGCACUCGGGGCGGUAGGAGCAGCACGCGGGAACUCCGGGCACAGCCCUGCCCUGCACCUUCGCCGACGCGGCCAUCAUCAAGAAUAG